rnacentral:miRNA from 1 species
AACACACCUAGUUAACCUCUUU